AUGUCCCCUGUGGAGGAGGCCCCGGAACAGGAUCCGCCGGCACAUUCCAUCCCAAAUUCCAUUUUGGGAUCAAAGAGGAGAGCCACAUUCCUGGGAACACCGGAAGCCUCAAAGGAGGGGGGGGGGAUCCCAGCUCCGAGCGGAUCCCGGUGGGAUUUGAGGCCGCUCCGGAAUGGCCGGUCCAGGAGGAAAUUUGGGAAGAAGAAGCGGGAAUUCCAAGUGGAUCUCUGGGAAUGGGGCAGGCUUGGCCUUGAGCUCUGGAUGGGAAUUCCGGGAUGUGGGAAUCAGCAGGGCGGUGACCCCGGUGUCACCGUCACCUCCACGGUGUCCUCGUCGCUGUCGUCUGAGCUGCAGAUGAUGAUGCUGCUGAUCUCUGCAAGGGAAAUCCUGGGAUUCGGCAUCCCACGGGAUCAACAUUGCCACGUUUUGCAGCGGGAACCACCCCGAGCUCGCUGGGAGCAACCCCUGCAAUGGUGGGGACUUCAUGGAUCCUUCACAUGGAUCCUUCAUCCCAUGGAUCCUGCAUUCCAUGGAUCCUUCAUCCCAUGGAUCCUGCAUUCCAUGGAUCCCUCAUCCCAUGGAUCCCUCACCCCAUGGAUCCUUCACAUGGAUCCCUCAGCCCAUGGAUCCUGCACCCCAUGGAUCCCUCACCCCAUAGAUCCCUCACCCCAUAGAUCCCUCAUCCCAUGGAUCCUUCACAUGGAUCCUUCAUCCCAUGGAUCCUGCAUUCCAUGGAUCCUGCAUCGCAUGGAU
rnacentral:lncRNA from 13 species